rnacentral:rRNA from 1 species
ACUCCGUACGGGGAGGCAGCAGGUGGGGGAAUAUUGGACAAUGGGCGAAAGCCUGAUCCAGCCAUGCCGCGUGUGUGAAGAAGGUCUUCGGAUUGUAAAGCACUUUAAAGUUGGGAGGAAGGGCAGUUACCUAAUACGUGAUUGUUUUGACGUUACCGACAGAAUAAGCACCGGCUAACUCUGUGCCAGCAGCCGCGGUAAUACAGAGGGUGCAAGCGUUAAUCGGGAAUUACUGGGCGUAAAGCGCGCGUAGGUGGUUAGUUAAGUUGGAUGUGAAAUCCCCGGGGCUCAACCUGGGGAACUGCAUUCAAAACUGACUGACUAGAGUAUGGUAGAGGGUGGUGGAAUUUCCUGUGUAGCGGUGAAAUGCGUAGAUAUAGGAAGGAACACCAGU